CACAGCUCAAAUUUGAAAUCUGGCGCAAGCCCGAGUUGUAAUUUGUAGAGGAUGUUUCUGGCGACGUACCUUCCGAGUUCCCUGGAACGGGACGCCAUAGAGGGUGAGAGCCCCGUACGGUUGGUUGCCUAGCCUCUGUGAAACUCCUUCGACGAGUCGAGUAGUUUGGGAAUGCUGCUCUAAAUGGGAGGUAUACGUCUUCUAAAGCUAAAUACCGGCCAGAGACCGAUAGCGCACAAGUAGAGUGAUCGAAAGAUGAAAAGCACUUUGAAAAGAGGGUUAAAUAGUACGUGAAAUUGUUGAAAGGGAAGCGUUUAUGACCAGACUUGGGCAGGUUGAUCAUCCGUGGUUCUCCGCGGUGCACUCUGCCUGCCCAGGCCAGCAUCAGUUCAGUUCGGGGGAUAAAGGCUUCGGGAAUGUAGCUCCCUCGGGAGUGUUAUAGACCGUUGCGUAAUACCCUGAUCUGGACUGAGGUUCGCGCUCUGCAAGGAUGCUGGCGUAAUGGUCAUCAGCGACCCGUCUUGAAACACGGACCAAGGAGUCGUCUUCGUAUGCGAGUGUUCGGGUGUCAAACCUCUACGCGUAAUGAAAGUGAACGUA
rnacentral:rRNA from 1 species